rnacentral:rRNA from 1 species
ACAUGAACAUCGACAUUUUGAACGCAUAUUGCGGUCCAUACUGACUAGUUUCUUUACUGAAGCUGUAUGGACCACACAUGGUUGAGGGUCGUUAGUUUACGCUAACUGAAUUGCUUUUUAAUUAAAGCUACAUCAUGAGGUGUUGUCAUCCUUAAGUGUGUUGACAUCCCUUGAAAAUACCUUUGGUACACAAUUUAUUUAUUGUGAAUGCUUGUUUUAUCAAAGAAAACAAAUAUCGAGCAGAUUUAAUUUCAAUUCGAAAAUUUUGAAGCUAGUAAACUUUGACUAAGCGUUUAAACAUAAUAGUUUACGUAUUUGAAUGCAUAACCUGAACACUUCAAAACUAGUAGUAUAUCAGCGCGAUAUUUUUUCGUUAAUUUACUUUGAAUAAUAAAAAACGUUUCCAACCCAAAGCGGAUGGCAUUCAAUUAACAAUAAAUACUUUUGAACAAAAUCUCAAAGCGACCUCAGCUCAUGUGAGACUACCCC